rnacentral:rRNA from 1 species
AGAGCGAACGCUGGCGGCAGGCCUAACACAUGCAAGUCGAGCGCCCGUAGCAAUACGGGAGCGGCAGACGGGAUAGUAACACGUGGGAACGCGCCCUUCGGUUCGGAAUAACUCAGGGAAACUUGAGCUAAUACCGGAUACGCCCUUACGGGGAAAGAUUUAUUGCCGAAGGAACGGCCCGCGUCCGAUUAGCUAGUUGGUGAGGUAAUGGCUCACCAAGGCUACGAUCGGUAGCUGGUCUGAGAGGAUGACCAGCAUCACUGGGACUGAGACACGGCCCAGACUCCUACGGGAGGCAGCAGUGGGGAAUAUUGGACAAUGGGCGCAAGCCUGAUCCAGCCAUGCCGCGUGGAUGAUGAAGGCCUUAGGGUUGUAAAGUCCUUUUAACGGGGAAGAUAAUGACGGUACCCGUAGAAUAAGCCCCGGCUAACUUCGCGCCAGCAGCCGC